CGCAGCGGUAGUUCAGUCGGUUAGAAUACCGGCCUGUCACGCCGGGGGUCGCGGGUUCGAGUCCCGUCCGCUGCGCCAU
rnacentral:tRNA from 4 species